GAGAGACAAACAGGUAUUAGUCAAUGUGUUUUCCUAUGCAUUCUUAGCUUAGAGAAAUAUACAGACCAUCAGACAUCACAUAUUUUUAAACAUAUCACAACCCCAGUUUGCCUGUUUGAAAAGCCUCUCCUAGGGCCACUUUCACAGACGUUUUGUUUGUUUUGAUCGUUACCAAUGGCGCCGAUCGAUGCUAUAUAUUUCCACGUGAAACUGGCUUAUGGGGUAGUGGCGGCCGCAGAGGAAGCGAGAGGUGUUGAGAGUGUGUGGCAAGGUGCGGGCCUAGGCUAACCCCGCAGCCGCCACUUCCCCAUCGGCCAGUAUUAAGUGGAAAUACUAUAGCAUCGAUCGCCGCCAUUGGUAACGAUCAAAACAAACAAGAUGACUGUGAAAGCGGCCCCUAGAAGUUGUUGCUGGGCUUUUCGUGGACAGUUUUGUGGUGAUAAUUUGACACGACCUCUGCACCCUGAGCUGGAAAUAUCACCCCCCCAUGAAAACCUGGUUAAUCUUCCCUGUGGCCGUGGGAAAUAGUUGUAAAAUAAUAAUAGUAGUAGUAGAAGUAGUAGUUUCUUAGCCUGUGAAUCACUUUGUUGUCUGCCUCGAUCUGUACUGACUCUAACAUUCUUCUAUUUCUUCUUCUUCUUCUUCUUCUCCUCUUGGUUCUUUUUAUUUUCAUCCUUCCUCUUCUUGUUCUCAUUCUUCUGUUUCUUUUUCAUUUUCUUUCUCUUUUUCCUUUUCAUUUUGUUUUUCUUCAUCUUCUUAUUAUAGUUCUUCUUCUGUUUCUUGUUCCUCUUCUUCUUCAUAUCCUUUCUAUAGCAAGGUGACCAGAACUGAACUGCAUAAUCAAGAUGAGGUCUAACUAAUGCUAAAUACAGCUUGAGGAAGUAUUAGUAGUAGUGCUGUGUUAACCCGUCCGCUGCGAUUGUCACGGAUUUUGCCUUCACUGGUAGCCUGGUAACAUACAGUCCCUGGUCUUUCUCUGCCUCUGUGGUGGAUAGUGGAGUGUUUCCCAUGUGGUAUUGGUGUGCUGGAUAUCCCUUCACUGGUAGCCUGGUAACAUAUAGUCCCAGGUCUUUCUCUGCCUCUGUGGUGGAUAGUGGAGUGUUUCCCAUGUGGUAUUGGUGUGCUGGAUAUCCCUUCACUGGUAGCCUGGUAACAUAUAGUCCCAGGCCUUUCUCUGCCUCUGUGGUGGAUAGUGGAGUGUUUCCCAUGUGGUAUUGGUGUGCUGGAUAUCCCUUCACUGGUAGCCUGGUAACAUAUAGUCCCAGGUCUUUCUCUGCCUCUGUGGUGGAUAGUGGAGUGUUUCCCAUGUGGUAUUGGUGUGCUGGAUAUCCCUUCACUGGUAGCCUGGUAACAUAUAGUCCCAGGUCUUUCUCUGCCUCUGUGGUGGAUAGUGGAGUGUUUCCCAUUUGGUAAUGGUGUGCUGGAUAUCCCUUCACUGGUAGCCUGGUAACAUAUAGUCCCAGGUCUUUCUCUGCCUCUGUGGUGGAUAGUGGAGUGUUUCCCAUGUGGUAUUGGUGUGCUGGAUAUCCCCUCCCAAGGUCCAGGACUUUACAUUAUUCUUCAUUGAAUUGUAGCAGCCACUUUUUGUUCCAUUCCUGCAGCUUGGUGGUCUUCUGCUAGGAAAUUCACAGUCAAUGGGCUAACCUUUCUUCAUG